rnacentral:rRNA from 1 species
GAUGAACGCUAGCUACAGGCCUAACACAUGCAAGUCGAGGGGUAACGAGAGGGAAGCUUGCUUUCCUUGUCGACGACCGGCGCACGGGUGAGUAACGCGUAUCCAACCUGCCCCCAACUAGGGAAUAACCUUGCGAAAGUAAGACUAAUACCCUAUAAUUUCCUCAGAUGUCAUCUGACGAGGAAUAAAGAUUUAUCGGUUGUGGAUGGGGAUGCGUCUGAUUAGCUUGUUGGCGGGGUAACGGCCCACCAAGGCAACGAUCAGUAGGGGUUCUGAGAGGAAGGUCCCCCACAUUGGAACUGAGACCCGGUCCAAACUCCUACGGGAGGCAGCAGUGAGGAAUAUUGGUAAAUGGGCGGAAGCCUGAACCAGCCAAGUAGCGUGCAGGAUGACGGCCCUAUGGGUUGUAAACUGCUUUUAUACAGGAAUAAAGUUAGCCACGUGUGGUUAUUUGUAGGUACUGUAUGAAUAAGGACCGGCUAAUUCCGUGCCAGCCGCCGCCGUAA